GUGCACGAAUCUCAUGCGCUUCCCAUCACGCUUGCUUCGUUGCCUGACACGCAGGUGCACACAAGCCUGCUCCAAUGGCUUCGCGGUUCGAACAGAUGUCGUGUACCGGAUGACCUGUGGACAUGCCUCCAGAGAACAUGGCCUUGUUCGUAACUGUAGGAACUCCAACAAGGCUUCAUGGUCAUGUACUUCACGCUGCACCGAGGCAAUUUCUACGGCGCGUACAAACGCUUGUUCACCUUCCGAGCACUCCUGUUGAUUGUUGUCCUGGGAGCCCUGGCGUACCUUAUUUCUUCCAUCGCCAGUCGUGCUCCCCAAGUGAAGACUUCUGAGC